UACGUAGGGUCCGAGCGUUGUCCGGAAUUACUGGGCGUAAAGGGUCUGUAGGUGGCUUGCUAAGUCAGACGUGAAAUCCCUCAGCUUAACUGGGGAACUGCGUCUGAGACUGGCGAGCUUGAGGGCAGGAGAGGAACGCGGAAUUCCAGGUGUAGCGGUGAAAUGCGUAGAUAUCUGGAGGAACACCGGUGGCGAAGGCGGCGUUCUGGACUGCAUCUGACACUGAAAGACGAAAGCCAGGGGAGCAAACGGG
rnacentral:rRNA from 1 species